AGUUAUGCUAAUCAACCCAGGAGUGGGGCAGGUGAGUGUUCAUCCACUUACGUGUGCAUAGCACACACACACAUGCAUACAUGUACAUUUAGUCUGCAUGGCAUUUAUCCUCAUAUGUGCACUGACACUCAGGCAAGCACAUGGAAACUCUCCCUGCCUGCUAUUUUGGGUGAGGGGAGUAGACUCUAAAUUACAUUAGAUUCAUCUACGACAUUCCUCUUCCAACACAGACAUACCUAUGAUGAAAGCACUAUUAUACAGCCUCAGUAGAUGCUUGUGUAAUAUGUUGGUCUUCUCAUGUCCUCAGAGAUGCAUCACAAAGGUUAAAAGGAGCAUCCACAUCCAUGCCUGGCACGUAGGCGUUUUGUAUUUUAAUACAAUACUAUUAUCUACAAUUGAGACACUUUAGUGUGUGCACACAUACUCAUAGACACAUGCGGCGUAUUGCUUCAUCUAUUGCCUUCCGAGACAGGUGCAAAUAUGAGAACUCCACCCUUCCCCAGAACAGGUGGGUACACUUCUAUUUACACCAACAAGCUCACCCUAACCCUGCCAGCCAUCUUGUCAGCAACAAUAGUCAUAGCAAACUCAGGUUAGGUGACUGCUUUCUAUAUUCCCAAGGCCUUCCAGGCAUGGGACCUCACUGGGGCCUUGCAGCGGCUCUUGGGGUGGGUGGGAUCAGCAGGCAUCAUCGCUCUACAUUUAUGGCUGAUGAACCAGAACAAGGGAGUUGAAGUUCCUCAUCUGGGAGGCAGUCAGCAGUCAGAUGGUGAACUUCGUGGUAGUGAGCUUCCUAUGGUCCUUGGAUGCUGGUUUGAUGACUUCCAUCCCUCAUUAUGGAAAGCGGUGGCCAUGGGCAGCAGCGCCUGCUGGAGUCUUGAUUCCCGGUCAAAACGUUUUCCAGAGUCAGCCAGGGCCAGCGGAGAAGUGGGAAUUGGAGGCUGAUAAAGGGAAACCGCCAUCAUUAGAAAUCCCAUAAAGUCUCAUUUACAAUCCCUGUCAGAUGAAAGGAACAAUUGAAUGUGUUGGAGGGAAAAGCAAAUACCAAUUUCCUUUAGGACGCCCAGCCUCACACAGCUGAUCCAGAGGCUCCAAAAGGGCAUGUGUGUGUGUGUGUGUGUGUGUGGUGUGGUAUGAGUGUGUGGUGUGUGUAUUUGUGGUGUGUGUGUGUGUAUGGUGUGUGUGUGGUGUUGUGGUGUGUGUGUGUAUGUGUGUGGUUUGUGAUAUGUGUGAUGGGUGGUGUGUGUGUGUGUGUGUGUGUGUGUGUGUGUGUGUAUCUGUCCUCCCUUGGCUCCCUCCUGCUCU
rnacentral:lncRNA from 1 species